rnacentral:rRNA from 1 species
UCCUACGGGAGGCAGCAGUGGGGAAUAUUGGACAAUGGGCGCAAGCCUGAUCCAGCCAUGCCGCGUGAGUGAUGAAGGCCCUAGGGUUGUAAAGCUCUUUCGCCAGGGACGAUAAUGACGGUACCCCAGGAGGAAGCCCCGGCUAACUACGUGCCAGCAGCCGCGGUAAUACGUAGGGGGCGAGCGUUGUCCGGAAUUAUUGGGCGUAAAGGGUUCGUAGGCGGUUUUUUAAGUCAGAUGUGAAAGGUCACGGCUCAACCGUGGUAAGCAUUUGAAACUGAAAGACUUGAGUUAAGGAGAGGAAAGUGGAAUUCCUAGUGUAGCGGUGAAAUGCGUAGAUAUUAGGAGGAAUACCAGUGGCGAAGGCGACUUUCUGGACUUAUACUGACGCUGAGGAACGAAAGCGUGGGGAGCAAACAGGAUUAGAUACCCUGGUAGUCCACGCCGUAAACGAUGAGUGCUAGGUGUUGGGGGUCAAACCUCGGUGCCGCAGCUAACGCAUUAAGCACUCCGCCUGGGGAGUACGUACGCAAGUAUGAAACUCAAAGGAAUUGACGGA